UACGUAGGGGGCAAGCGUUGUCCGGAAUUAUUGGGCGUAAAGAGCGCGUAGGCGGUCCGGUAAGUCGGUUGUGAAAGUCGGGGGCUCAACCCUCGGAUGCCGAUCGAUACUGUCGGGCUAGAGUCCGGAAGAGGCGAGUGGAAUUCCUGGUGUAGCGGUGGAAUGCGCAGAUAUCAGGAAGAACACCAACGGCGAAGGCAGCUCGCUAGGACGGUACUGACGCUGAGACGCGAAAGCGUGGGGAGCGAACAGG
rnacentral:rRNA from 1 species